rnacentral:rRNA from 1 species
AGCCGCUCAGAACUUAAGGAAUGACGGGGCCGCACAAGCGGUGGAGUAUGUGGUUUAAUUCGAUGCAACGCGAAGAACUUACCUGGUCUUGACAUCCCGGAGACCCUUAGGAAACUAGGGGGUGCUUCCAUCUGGAAGAAUCUGGAGACAGGUGCUGCAUGGCUGUCGUCAGCUCGUGUCGUGAGAUGUUGGGUUAAGUCCCGCAACGAGCGCAACCCUUGCCUUUAGUUGCCAGCAGUUCGGCUGGGCACUCUAAAGGGACUGCCGGUGUUAAACCGGAGGAAGGUGGGGAUGACGUCAAGUCCUCAUGGCCUUUAUGACCAGGGCUACACACGUACUACAAUGGCCGAUACAAAGGGCAGCGACACUGCGAGGUGAAGCCAAUCCCGUAAAAUCGGUCUCAGUCCGGAUUGGAGUCUGCAACUCGACUCCAUGAAGUUGGAAUCGCUAGUAAUCGUGGAUCAGCAUGCCACGGUGAAUACGUUCCCGGGCCUU